rnacentral:rRNA from 1 species
AUUGAACGCUGGCGGCAUGCUUUACACAUGCAAGUCGAACGGCAGCGCGGGCUUCGGCCUGGCGGCGAGUGGCGAACGGGUGAGUAAUGCAUCGGAACGUGCCCAGUAGUGGGGGAUAGCCCGGCGAAAGCCGGAUUAAUACCGCAUACGACCUGAGGGUGAAAGCGGGGGACCGAAAGGCCUCGCGCUAUUGGAGCGGCCGAUGUCGGAUUAGCUAGUUGGUGGGGUAAAGGCUUACCAAGGCGACGAUCCGUAGCUGGUCUGAGAGGACGACCAGCCACACUGGGACUGAGACACGGCCCAGACUCCUACGGGACGCAGCAGUGGGGAAUUUUGGACAAUGGGGGCAACCCUGAUCCAGCCAUGCCGCGUGCGGGAAGAAGGCCUUCGGGUUGUAAACCGCUUUUGUUCGGGAAGAAAUCCUCUGGGCUAAUACCCCGGGGGGAUGACGGUACCGGAAGAAUAAGCACCGGCUAACUACGUG